UACGUAGGUGGCAAGCGUUGUCCGGAUUUACUGGGCGUAAAGAGCGCGCAGGCGGUCGUCCAAGUCGCGUGUGAAAGCCCCCGGCUCAACUGGGGAGGGUCACGCGAUACUGGUCGACUCGAAGGCAGGAGAGGGUAGUGGAAUUCCCGGUGUAGUGGUGAAAUGCGUAGAUAUCAAGUGGAACACCAGUGGCGAAGGCGAGUCUCUGGACAUUUCCUGACGCUGAGGCACGAAAGCCAGGGGAGCAAACGGG
rnacentral:rRNA from 1 species